rnacentral:lncRNA from 1 species
UCAGAAUUGCAUUAUUGAAGAUGUUUAAUAUUUGAUGGCUUCUCCAAAGUAAUUGCACUACAAAGUGAUUUAUGUUUUUCAAUGGGGCAAAAUAUUAAAAAUUUGUAAGGUACAAUACCAAUCAUCUAUUACAAUAUAAGAAAAUUGAUUACUAUGGUAAAAUCAAUUUUGCCCUUGUUUCAGAAAUUGCCACCUGUCCAUUUCAAGGGUAUUUGCAGUCCAAAAUUUUUGUAAUGGAACUAGAUGAGAGGCUAACCGAGCCACAUGACUGGCUAACUAAGCCAAAUUAAUAUGUUGUGAGACAAAAUGCAACUUUAUUGCAAGCCAUGGUUCCAUUUGAAGUCUACCAAUUGGUUUUCAAUUGUUUACUUUAUGUCACAUCACAACUUUUCCUUUCAAAAUUCAAAUUCAAAUCCAAAACAUUUUCCCACUCUUUGUAACUUUCAUUUCAUUAUUAUAUACCCAUUUGAAAUUUAUAUCACUUCCUCUCAUCUUCUUUCUUUGUUCUUAUUCUUUCUCCUCAUUUUUAACUAUAUUUUUUCUAACUUGAUUAUGUUGUAUUUUGCAGAAAUGAUAUUUUUCUCUAUCUAACAAACAAAAAGAUGAAAAACUUCAUGCUACACAAAAGAUUAAGGUAUGAAAAAAAAAAACUUCCACAUUUAGCUUUUAUGCAAUUUCUUCAUAAAUAAUAUCAUGUCACUUUAUCAUCUAACUUUUUUUGUUUCUCCAUUUUUUUAUCUUCAUCUCUUCAGCAACUACAAAAAAAAAGAACAUGAGUAAGUUAAUAAUGAUGAAUUUUAUUCAUAUAUAUCACUUCUACUAAUUAUAAAACUUACUAUUAUUUUCAAGGUCACAAUUAUUUUGUAUAAAUUUGUUAAAAAAAAAUGCUUGAUGUUAUUUUUUAAAAAAAAAUUUCUUGCUAUUUCUCACUUUUAACAAAACUGAUGAAGAAAAUUAGAUAAAAUAACAAAUCCGAAACUGGAAAUUAUUAGAAGAUAAAAAAUAGAACAAUUUGAUUAUUUUAAAAGUUUUAAUUAGUAGGAACUUAAAAAAAGAAAAAGAAUAUAAGAGUGAAGAUAAAACAACAAAGAGAUGCCACAAUGUACUAACAAUUUAUGUGUUUCUUUUCAGAAUGCAUACCAAGAAAGAAAAACACGGGAAGCAAAACACUUUCAAGAAAUGAAACAGGAAAACAAAGCACAUACCAAGAAAUUGGAAGAACUUGUAUCUGGUAACAUUUUUUAGUGAUUAUACAGCAUUUAUUUUUUAUUUUCAGAUCAAAAUUAAAUUAAAUACUACAUACAUAGAAAAAAAUAUGAAUAAAAAAUAAUUAGAUCUACAAAAUAAAAAGAAAGAAUCAUAUACCGAGCAAAUAAAUAAACGGAGAAUGAAAGUAAGAUAUGGGUUACAUUGGUAUAUGAGAUGCAAUGAACUUUUUUAUUUUGUGGGUCUCAAUGACCAUACAACUGUUCUUUGAUGACAUGUGAUUAGUCAGGU